rnacentral:rRNA from 1 species
UGGGGAAUUUUGGACAAUGGGGGAAACCCUGAUCCAGCCAUGCCGCGUGAGUGAAGAAGGCCUUCGGGUUGUAAAGCUCUUUCAGCCGGAACGAAACGGUCACGGUUAAUACCCGUGACUACUGACGGUACCGGAAGAAGAAGCACCGGCUAACUACGUGCCAGCAGCCGCGGUAAUACGUAGGGUGCAAGCGUUAAUCGGAAUUACUGGGCGUAAAGCGUGCGCAGGCGGUUUUGUAAGUCAGAUGUGAAAUCCCCGGGCUUAACCUGGGAACUGCGUUUGAAACUACAAGGCUAGAGUGUGGCAGAGGGGGGUGGAAUUCCACGUGUAGCAGUGAAAUGCGUAGAGAUGUGGAGGAACACCGAUGGCGAAGGCAGCCCCCUGGGUUAACACUGACGCUCAGGCACGAAAGCGUGGGGAGCAAACA